rnacentral:miRNA from 1 species
UUGAAGGAUGAAACUGAUCU